rnacentral:rRNA from 1 species
GACGGGACCCGCACAAGCGGUGGAUGAUGUGGUUUAAUUCGAUGCAACGCGAAAACCUUACCCACCUUUGACAUGUACGGAACCCUUUAGAGAUAGAGGGGUGCUCGAAAGAGAGCCGUAACACAGGUGCUGCAUGGCUGUCGUCAGCUCGUGUCGUGAGAUGUUGGGUUAAAGUCCCGCAACGAGCGCAACCCUUGUCAUUAGUUGCUACAUUCAGUUGGGCACUCUAAUGAGACUGCCGGUGACAAGCCGGAGGAAGGUGGGGAUGACGUCAAGUCCUCAUGGCCCUUAUAGGUGGGGCUACACACGUCAUACAAUGGCUGGUACAAAGGGUUGCCAACCCGCGAGGGGGAGCCAAUCCCAUAAAGCCAGUCGUAGUCCGGAUCGUAGUCUGCAACUCGACUACGUGAAGUCGGAAUCGCUAGUAAUCGUGGAUCAGAAUGUCACGGUGAAUACGUUCCCGGGUCUU